CUUGAAAUUCUUUCUUCUGCUUCCAAAAACACCUUUCCUGCCUCUCUGGCUCCUCUCUAUUAUCCCCUCCAUUCCUCUUCCUUUUCCCAUGCUCCAUACUGCAGCCUCAGGGAUUUCUCCAAUUUGAUCAGGACACUCUCCAGAUUAAAACAGUUGAUUUGCUGUUAUGCAAAAUCCUUAGCAUGGUUUGUAAGGUAACUCUGCUUAAUUCCCCUGGCUUUUUUUCUCUCAACCCACUUCCUUUCUUUCCACAAUCCAGCCACACUACACAAUCGACAGUUCCCUAAAUAAGCCAGGGUUUUUUUUCCCCCUCCUCCAACCAUUUUCAUAAACUAUUUCCUCAGCUGAAACACUUGUCUUUCCAAAACCCCCAAACUAACCCCACGCCUACAUUUACACAACUUGACUUGGUAGACUUCCACCUAAGCUUUCCUAAAAAACGCUCUUCCUGCCCCCAGACACUGGAUUAAGAUCUAUAUGUUGUCAUAAAUGCCCUGUUGUAGCAUUUACCAAUGGUAAUUAGCUUUUGUUUUGGUACUAGGGAUGAAACUUAGGGCCUCCUGCACGCCAGGCAAGGGCUCUACCAUUGAACUACAUCCUGAACCCUUGAUAAUUGCCUCUUACUGGUUGAAUCUCCCAUUAGACGCUAAGCUCCCAAAAUCCUAUAACUAUACCAUGUUCACCUUGGUAACCAGUAUAUAACUCUGUGCCAGACAUGUAACAGAAACAUAAU
rnacentral:lncRNA from 1 species